rnacentral:rRNA from 1 species
UGAGUACGAGAUGCUACGGCAUCGAAGCAGUCUAUGUCAUACUUCCAAGAAAAGCUUGCACUGUCAGAAACAGAUAAUGCCUGUACCAUAACCGACACAGGUGGGUAGGUAGAGUAUACUAAGGGGCGCGAGAUAACUCUCUCUAAGGAACUCGGCAAAAUGACUCCGUAACUUCGGGAGAAGGAGUGCCUUAUUUUUAAGGUUGCAAUAACAAGAUCCAAGCAACUGUUUACCAAAAACACAGGUCUCCGCUAAGUCGUAAGACGAUGUAUGGGGGCUGACGCCUGCCCAGUGCCAGAAGGUUAAAGAAGUCGGUUAGCAUUCGCGAAGCUGGUAACUGAAGCCCUGGUGAACGGCGGCCGUAACGAUAACGGUCCUAAGGUAGCGAAAUUCCUUGUCGGGUAAGUUCCGACCCGCACGAAAGGCGUAAUGAUUUGGAUACUGUCUCGGAGAGGGGCUCGGUGAAAUAGACUUGUCUGUGAAGAUGCGGACUACCUGCACCUGGACAGAAAGACCCUAUGAAGCUUUACUGUAACUUGAAAUUGAAAUUGGACUUUAUUUGCGCAGUAUAGGUGGGAGGCGUUGAAAAUAUUCUUGCGGGAAUAUUGGAGCCAUCAGUGAGAUACCACUCUUGUAAUGUUAGAUUUCUAACUUUACAUCAUUAUCUGGUUAAAGAACAGUUUCAGGCGGGCAGUUUGACUGGGGCGGUCGCCUCCCAAAUGGUAACGGAGGCGCACAAAGGUUUCCUCUGAACGGGUAGAAAUCGUAUCUAGAGUGUAAAGGCAUAAGGAAGCUUGACUGUGAGACCUACAAGUCGAGCAGGGACGAAAGUCGGCCUUAGUGAUCUGACGGUGCUGAGUGGAAAGGCCGUCACUCAACGGAUAAAAGUUACUCUAGGAUAACAGGCUGAUCUCCCCCAAGAGUUCACAUCGACGGGGAGGUUUGGCACCUCGAUGUCGGCUCAUCGCAUCCUGGGGCGGUAGUACGUCCCAAGGGUUGGGCUGUUCGCCCAUGAAAGCGGUACGCGAGCUGGGUUCAGAACGUCGUGAGACAGUUCGGUCCAUAUCCGGUGUAGGCGUUAGAAUAUUGAGAGGAGCCUUCUUUAGUACGAGAGGACCGAGAAGGACAUACCUCUGGUGUACCAGUUAUCGUGCCAACGGUAAACGCUGGGUAGCUAUGUAUGGAGUGGAUAACCGCUGAAAGCAUCUAAGUGGGAAGCCCACCUCAAGAUAAGUAUUCUCAUC